GUGGUGGCAGUGGUGGUGGCCUCUGGUGUGUUCAGAUAUACUCUUCAGUCUUUCUAUACACUCAGACACAGCCAUACACACUUCAAAAACACUCUUACAUACCCAAAACACUCGUAAACACACAAACACACGCAAUCAAACAGCCCAAAACACAUCCAGAGCAUGUCAUAUACACCUAAUAGAACAUAUACAUCCAAUCACACAUACAUACAGACAUACCCAUACGGCAUAUUCCCGAAAAUUUUCAUCACCAAGCGGCAAGACAAGAGUGAACCAGCAGCGUUAGCCAAGUCAACAUUAUCAGCUCCUCCACAAUCCUCCACACUGCCUUACGCUCAUCUAGUUAAGGCUCAGAUGUGUAGAAAAUAGCAGCAGACGGAAGAAGAAAAGGGAAAUAGAGGAGGAUGAAGAGGAAUUAAGGAGGGAGAGGAGCAGAAGGCUCAGGGGUGUAGAUAGAAGCAAGAGAAGGAAGAAGAAAGGAGAAACAAAGGAGGGGGA